CAUGCAAGUCGAGCGAAGCAGUUAAGAAGAUUCUUCGGAUGAUUCUCAACUGACUGAGCGGCGGACGGGUGAGUAACGCGUGGGUGACCUGCCCCAUACCGGGGGAUAACAGCUGGAAACGGCUGCUAAUACCGCAUAAGCGCACAGAGCUGCAUGGCUCGGUGUGAAAAACUCCGGUGGUAUGGGAUGGGCCCGCGUCUGAUUAGGCAGUUGGCGGGGUAACGGCCCACCAAACCGACGAUCAGUAGCCGGCCUGAGAGGGCGACCGGCCACAUUGGGACUGAGACACGGCCCAAACUCCUACGGGAGGCAGCAGUGGGGAAUAUUGCACAAUGGGGGAAACCCUGAUGCAGCGACGCCGCGUGAGCGAAGAAGUAUUUCGGUAUGUAAAGCUCUAUCAGCAGGGAAGAUAAUGACGGUACCUGACUAAGAAGCCCCGGCUAACUACGUGCCAGCAGCCGCGGUAAUACGUAGGGGGCAAGCGUUAUCCGGAUUUACUGGGUGUAAAGGGAGCGUAGACGGCAAGGCAAGUCUGAUGUGAAAACCCAGGGCUUAACCCUGGGACUGCAUUGGAAACUGUCUGGCUCGAGUGCCGGAGAGGUAAGCGGAAUUCCUAGUGUAGCGGUGAAAUGC
rnacentral:rRNA from 1 species